GGGCCGCCCCUGCCGGCUGCGCUCCCCAUGGCGGCGGCGGCGGCGGGGGCCGGCGGGGCGGGCGGCGGCGGCGCCUCGGCGGCGCUGGGCGACGGCGGCGCCAUCGACUACUCGGUGCACGAGGCGUGGAACGAGGCCACCAACGUGUACCUGCUGGUGGUGCUGGCCAGCCUCGCCCUGCUGGUCUACGCGCGGCGGAACAAGAGGAGGAUCAUGCGCAUCUUCACCCUGCCCCCGGCCGCCGAGACGCCGCCCGAGCCCAACUUCUACGACAGCAUGAAGAAGAUCCGCCUGCGGCAGCAGCUGGAGAUGUACUCCAUCGAUGAGUCAUCCCUUUGCUGUUUUGUUGUUAGACUCUAAACAGUGCUGCUCUUGGCUUUGGGCCUGCUUGAUCCCAAGUUUUGGAUGGCAGAAACAGAUAGGUGUCAUGAUGAGGAGCUUCUCAGAAACAGAAGUGGAUGAUGAGUGGAGAUGAAGAAAUCAUACAUUUAAGAAGUUGGCUCAAGUUUCCGUUACAGGCAUGGAAAGUUUCUGAGACCAAGCCAUGCGAGAAGAACAUGAGUAAAGAAGAGGGAGAUGUAGACCCAGACUUUCUAGAAGGGAUUGCAGGAUUUGAGAGGACGCUGCACAAACGUCACGUAGUUUUCUUGCUUAUUCAUUUACCUGCACCCCUGAACUGUAAUACUUUGUUUGCAUGUCUGUUUGGAAGUUGAAAAAUCCCCUCACAUCUGUGUCUUUAAUAUAAUCAUGGCUUCAAGCUUGUUUUAGGAAGAGCAGAACAUCGCUGUAGUUUUUGUUUGUGGAUGAGAUAGCUGCUGCUUUGUACUUGCAAUCAAUUUGUUUUUUUUUUUUUUGUUGAAACAUGCAUUGAAUAUGGAAAAGCUCAGGCCAUUACAAAAUAGGUAGUUAGGGGUUUUGCUUACAUUUAAUAAACAGCCUUUGCAUAGAAAGUAUGACGACAGGUGCAUAGGUAAAAGAAAAAAAAAAUAGUGCUAGCCCUCUAAUUUGAGUAACCUUAUAAUGUAUUGUUCUUACGGUGUCCUUAGACAGACGUCAGAAUCAAAUAUUAAUCAAUUUUAUCUUUUCUAUCUGACUGUUGGUCAGAAAAAUGUUCUAGAUAAGAUUUCUUGCCAGGGUUGUGGGGUUAUAAGUGCAGAUUACUUAGUAUUGAGUUAGGAGAGAGCUUUUUGGAGAGAUAGUUUUUUGAACAUCUUGGCUGUUCUGUGGAGUAUCUCGAAGGAAAUACUAGCCAUGCAGUCCAACAACUUAAUGAUGCUGUGAACAGACUUCGUUGUAGUAAGUUUCUGAUACAAAAUUAUUAAGACUUUGACGUAUAUGUAUUUAAAACUUUAAAAGUAAAUGUAUUUUCCUGUAUUGAAAAGUAUUGCUAGUAGAGGCAGGCUAAGAACAUCUUUAUUUUUCAUAUGAACUCCUAUCUGGUGUCUUAUCCUUAAUAAAAGGCUAUGGUUAUUUUUGUAUACUGACUGAAUAUUUGGCCUUUAAGAGUAUAUAAUUAGGUGGAAGAGUAAAAGCAGUUGUUAAAGGACUGUUUUUUUAAUGAAAAUAGUUUGAAAUCAUAUAAUUUUAGUUUAUUCCAAAUAGAUGCCAUUAGCGUGUUGGAAAUAGUUUUACAGUGGAUAUAAGGGGAGCAGUUGAGAGACAGUGGCUAAGAAUGUGUCCAGCUAUUUUUGUAGCUAACUGUUAUAUUUUUUCAGUCUCUUUACUUAGAUAUUUCCAUAUAAUCGAACUACUGCAUCACAAUGGGAUACAAAAACUAUUUGCACUUUAUAAUAUUUGCAUUUUAAAAUAGGUUUUAUUGUACUAAUUGAUAAGUAAAUUGCAAUGACUGUGAGAAAAUCCUAGCCUAUUUUAUUACUUUGAUAGAAAUUUGAAUAUGGGAUAGUAUUGUCUGUAUCUAUAAGAAUGUUUUCAUGGAUUUUUAGCUGCUGAAACUGAAAUCAAUAAACUUUAGCUACUGUUGUUGACUGGAACAAGUAAAUCUGCACAUUUGUUUUCUUCAUGUUACCUGUACCUCUGUGUUCACCUAGUGUUUCUCCCAGCAUUACUCCUUUCAUGGUGUUUGCCCAUGAGGCACACUCAGUGUGGGUUCCUGCAUGUUCUUGUGGAAGACUUUAUUGAUGGAGAACUGUGCAUUUGAGUUUGUGCAAUUACUCUGUUAUCUGAAUAAACCUCGGAGAAUUUCAGUCAAAA